AGCUGAUGCAGCGACCCGCGUGGGGGAUGAAGGCCUUCGGGUUGUAAACCCCUUUCAGCAGGGAAGAAGCGAAAGUGACGGUACCUGCAGAAGAAGCGCCGGCUAACUACGUGCCAGCAGCCGCGGUAAUACGUAGGGCGCAAGCGUUGUCCGGAAUUAUUGGGCGUAAAGAGCUCGUAGGCGGUUUGUCGCGUCUGCUGUGAAAUCCUGAGGCUCAACCUCGGGCUUGCAGUGGGUACGGGCAGACUAGAGUGCGGUAGGGGUGACUGGAAUUCCUGGUGUAGCGGUGGAAUGCGCAGAUAUCAGGAGGAACACCGAUGGCGAAGGCAGGUCACUGGGCCGCAACUGACGCUGAGGAGCGAAAGCAUGGGGAGCGAACAGGAUUAGAUACCCUGGUAGUCCAUGCCGUAAACGUUGGGCACUAGGUGUGGGGCUCAUUCCACGAGUUCCGUGCCGCAGCAAACGCAUUAAGUGCCCCGCCUGGGGAGUACGGCCGCAAGGCUAAAA
rnacentral:rRNA from 1 species